UACGUAGGUGACCAGCGUUGUCCGGAUUUACUGGGCGUAAAGAGCGCGUAGGCGGUCGUUCAAGUCGGGUGUGAAAGCCCCCGGCUCAACUGGGGAGGGGCAUUCGAUACUGAUCGACUUGAAGGCAGGAGAGGGAAGUGGAAUUCCCGGUGUAGUGGUGAAAUGCGUAGAUAUCGGGAGGAACACCAGUGGCGAAGGCGACUUCCUGGCCUGUUCUUGACGCUGAGGCGCGAAAGCUAGGGGAGCAAACGGG
rnacentral:rRNA from 1 species